AUUGAACGCUGGCGGCAGGCCUAACACAUGCAAGUCGAGCGGCAGCGGGAAAGUAGCUUGCUACUUUUGCCGGCGAGCGGCGGACGGGUGAGUAACACGUGAGAAUUUGCCUUUAGGAGGGGGAUAACAAUUGGAAACGAAUGCUAAUACCCCAUAUGCUUUUGAGUGAAAUGGAUUUUAUCCGCCUAGAGAGAAGCUCGCGGCUGAUUAGCUUGUUGGUAAGGUAAGAGCUUACCAAGGCGACGAUCAGUAUCUGGUUUGAGAGGACGAUCAGACACACUGGAACUGAGACACGGUCCAGACUCCUACGGGAGGCAGCAGUGGGGAAUUUUCCGCAAUGGGCGAAAGCCUGACGGAGCAAUACCGCGUGAGGGAAGAAUGCCUAUGGGUUGUAAACCUCUUUUUUCAGGGAGGAAUAAAAUGACGUGUACCUGAAGAAUAAGCAUCGGCUAACUCCGUG
rnacentral:rRNA from 1 species